rnacentral:rRNA from 1 species
UUACUGUUCCAAUAUCGCUACACCCUUCGUGUGUGGAACGAUAUUCUUCGCUGGCAUGGCAUGGAUCACGCUCAGGCUACUACUUGGUCAGCGAGGGGCUCGGUGUGGGAAUGGUGGAAUGGAAACGUAUAUCUUCGUUCUGAAUCCCCCAAGACGCUCGCCUCACUAAUGAUGCUUAACUCCUGGGAAAUUUGGACGGAGCGCAAUGCUAGAGUUUUUCGCUACACGGCCGCACCUACGACGGUCGUCAUUAGUAAGAUAAAAGAGGAGGUGUCGCUUUGGGUGUUGGCGGGCGCCAAACAUUUGAGUGUUGUAAUGCCGCGAGAGUAG